CUGGACACAGAAUUCCAGUGGACCCACCAUGUGUGGGGAUUCAGGGGAGACUCAAAGCAAAUACAAGGGCUUCCGAGGUGAUCGGGCAGCAUUAGUCUUCAGCCGCUAAGCCAAGAAGAUCUGGGAAGGAGUCAGAAAGCCUUGGGCCGGAGUUCCAGGGGCUCUGGGAGUGGCUGCCAGAAAAGGAGAUGAAGAUUACAGACACACACAGAGGGAAGACCACAUGAGGACACAGGGAGAAGGAGGCC